GGGCGCCACGAGGAAUGGAAGGUUGAGUUCGUUUGAUGGCCGGAGCAGCAGGAGCAACAGGUCAACGGUGGUCAAUGGCUAACCUCUAUCUCCUCUCUCUCUCCGUGGUUGAGAAGAAGGCCAAAUAGAAGAAGAAGAAUUUGGCUCGAAAGUCCUGUCGAGGUGCCUGUAAUGUCUCUAUUUUCCUAUUAUAUUCUCCACCACUCACAUCUAAAUUUGAUAAUAUAUGUUUUUUCCUAAACAUGUAAGGAUUUGUAUUUACAGGUAGGAAUUCUAUACAUUAUGAUGUAUUGAUUUAUUUGGAGAUUAGCCUUUUAGUAUAGUAUGAUAUUUUAAGAUAUUCACAAAAGGUGUAUUUGAUAUGUCCACAUUUAUAUAACUAUGUAGCAAUGCAUAUUUCAUCUGUUUUCCUCACCGAAUGAAGCACUUGUCUUGGAGAUUAGGCAAAUCCUAGAAUGAAGCAUUGAUCAAAACAACUGUUAUUGCCAACUAUGUACGCUAUGUUCCGGUUUAUGCUCUGAUGCACUUUCCCGUUCCUGGUCAGGGUACGAUGAAAUUAGGCAGAAUGGCAAGAUCUGUAGCAUCUACUGUGAACACAAAGCGGAGAAAAGGGAUUGCUUCCUCGUCCGGUAACCCAAUUGUGUUGCUUUCUUUCGUUUUAUUUCUCCAUACAUGCAAAUUAGUUUAUUCUGGAGCUUCUCCAUAAUAAGAGGUACCGUGCAACCUGCUUAUGAUAUCAAAGAAGUAACAUUUGCAUGCAUCCCUCCUGAACUCUACAAUAUUUCAGUUUGAUAUAGGCUGUAGUUAGACUUUCUGCUUCUUGAAAUUGAACUUAUAAAGGAUGAGAGGGGAGCUAGGCACAACCGCACCAUCCACGUGUAUGUGAAUAGUUCGGCGAGGGCGGAAAGGCAGCAGCGAGCGAAAGAAAAAGAGCAUGGCGGCGAAAAACGGCGAGGGCGGAAAGGGCAGCAGCGAGCGAAAGAAAAAGAGCUGGGCAGCAAAAAAGGAACGAGCCAGCUCGCAUCCUUUUCGAGAGCUCGCGUCCUUCUCACGAACCCUACCGCCGCCCCGCUCCUCCUCCUCCCACCUAUGUCGCCUCCCCCUAGCCGCCGCCGCCUCCCACCUCAGUCGCGCCCCCCCCCCUCGCAUCUCGUCCGCCCCGAGUGCGGAGGCAAGCUUCCCA
rnacentral:lncRNA from 1 species